rnacentral:lncRNA from 1 species
GUGCCCACCGCCGGACAUUCUCGCCCUCCUGCCGCAGGAGCUGAGCACGGAUCCCCCGUGGUCCCAGGAGGGGACGAGGAAGCCGCCCCACGGGGUCCCUGCGGGGUCCUCCAGCCCCCAGCCCGCAGUGCCCACCUCCUGCCGCGGCUUGUACAGGCCAGGAGCCACCACAGCCCUGUCUGUGACUCUCAGCUCCCGAGGCUGGGCUCUUCCCCAGGGAAGCUGCAUGACCAUGGCCACAUACAGGAGGUAGGAGACAGAGGCCUCCACGGUGGACGAUCGUGGCGUGAAGUCCACGUUGACCACGUUGUCGGUGCUGGGGGAGCGGAUGAAGGCCAGGGACCCGCGGCGCUCUCCCUGUGGUCAGGAAGCAGCCCGGAGACCCUAAAACUCCAUUGGCCUCAUGUCCAGAACUGAAUCAGCCAGUGCCAGAGCCUGCUGCAGCCCCGACCCGGCAGAGCAAGCGGCUCUGCUACCUCAGCCACGUAGCUGAUGGCAUCCUUCAGGUUCAGCUCGUGGAAGACAUUCAGGAUCCGGUCUCGAGACUUCUGGGCCGACCGUCUCAUGAGGACCCUGCUGAGGAACUUCCUGUCGAAGUGGGACCACCUGUAGGGACAGACCUUGGGUGUGAGCCUCAGGUGACAGGCGCCCUAGAGCCCGCCGGACGCGUGGCCCGGCCCCUUCUCUCCUGAAUUUUGUUUGCUAUAGUGACCCUGUAGGCGCGUUUAAAAUGAGGGAAGCAGCCCCUGCCACACGCCCAGGCCGUCCGCCGUUCUCCCGCCUGUCCUGUUGGAUGGAGGCCGUUAGACGCAUAUGAAACUGCAUGCCGCCUCCUCCAGAGGGUGGCUCAGGACACGGUGGGUGUCAGGCCUGGUCAGGCAAGGGGGCUUUGGCCACAUGGGGGGCACCUUCAGGUGCACAGGAGGAAGGGCAGGGGCGGACAGACACCCUGAGCCCUUAGACUUGUGGGAGCCAAGCUGACCAGAGUGAGGUUUUUUUUAGCCUAACGGAAUUAGAGUAUUCGCUGGUUAUCCAGAUCAGAAGGGACGGUGGCCUGGCCGGACUUAGAGGAAACUCUGGGGCACAAGGAGGUGAUGCCUGUCACUUGGACAUGGGUGCAGCCGCCAGAGCCGCCCUCCAGGGCACAGGGUGGGCCCGGGUGAGCUUGUGUGCUCACACCUGGGCAGGCCCCGCGGCAGCAAUGGCAGCUCUCCUGUACAGGCUGAGUUUCAGCCACACCAAGAAGUCAAAGCUAACCGAGGCUGUGCCUUCCGAGACCCCCGGGAUGGCCCCUGGGAGGCCAAGGAGUCGGGGACUGGGUACCCGGAGCAGAGUCACUGUGGCCACGGAGAACCGCAGCUGAGCUUUAUGAAGCCACGUGGCCACACCUCCCGGUGCCUCCACCCCAAGCAAACACAGAUCGCUCAGAAAAUGGGAACCCAGGGCAAAUUGUAUGUGC